rnacentral:rRNA from 1 species
GAACCGAGCGAACGUUGUUCGGAAUCACUGGGCUUAAAGGGCGCGUAGGCGGGCUGCCGCGUCCGGGGUGAAAUCCCACGGCUCAACCGUGGAACGGCCCCGGGUACGGGCGGCCUCGAGGGGGGUAGGGGCGUGCGGAACUGUGGGUGGAGCGGUGAAAUGCGUUGAUAUCCACAGGAACUCCGGUGGCGAAGGCGGCACGCUGGACCCCCACUGACGCUGAGGCGCGGAAGCCAGGGGAGCGAACGGGAUUAGAUACCCCGGUAGUCCUGGCCCUAAACGAUGAGAACUGGGUAGUAGCCCUGGCAUGGGGUUACUGCCGCAGCCAAAGUGCUAAGUUCUCCGCCUGGGGAGUAUGGUCGCAAGGCUG